GACAUAGGUUGCAAACGUUAUCCGGAAUUAUUGGGCGUAAAGGAUGCGUAGAUGGCUUGAUAAGUUAUCAGUGGUAAAUCGGGGCUUAACCUCGUGGAAGCUGGUAAUACUGUUAUGCUUGAGUGCAGGAGAGGUUAACGGAACUCUAUGUGGAGCGGUAAAAUGCGACGAUAUAUAGAAGAACACCAACAGGCGAAAGCAGUUAACUAUUCUGUUACUGACAUUGAGGCAUGAAAGCGUGGGGAGCAAAACGG
rnacentral:misc_RNA from 1 species